rnacentral:lncRNA from 10 species
ACCACUUGUCUGCACUCCUGCAGCAAGUGAAUGACAGACCAGGAUUCAAACCCAGCACUCUGGGUCUUAACCCAUUGCCUCGCACAGGACUUGUGUUCUUUCCAGACAGCACCACUCAGAGCUGACCGGGGCGGGGUGAGAACACGGAGGGUGGAGAGAAGAGACAGGGGGAAGGAAACCAGUGAGCAAGCGUGAGCCCAGCUGGAGAGGCAAGAAUGGUGGGGGCUGUGGCUCUGGCAGGAAGAAAGUUGAGGGGAUGUGAGCUAGGGAACUGGGAGAGCCUGCAGAAGAGAGGCCACCUCUCCGCAUUCCCCCAGGAAAUGGAAUGGAGAGAAGCUUCUACAACAUACUCUCCUGUGAUCGGCCAUCUCUGCCAAUGCUUGAGUCAAUUGGACCACAAGUAAUAUUCAGCUAAUCAGAACUCGGCAAUCAGCACUCAAGAAUCAACUAGAAAUGGUUCUUGCUCCUGCUUCCUGCCUUUCUCCACCUGGGAAGAUGUCCCCUGUGGACUAACUGCCUUACCCUGGCUCCCUUGCUAUCCAGCUUCCUGCUGGGUGUGGCCAAUGGGAGGCCCUGGCUGAAGAUGAAAGCAGUGGGGAGAAAGAGGCGGGGGUGUUUCUUCCACACUCCCUCCAUUCCUCACUGCGGUUCUGCCCAUGGCUGUGUUUCUCCUGCUUGGGGACAGGGGUCCCCCUUUCAUAGCACCAGCUUUCACUGGGCUCCAGAACAUCACUUCCUCUUCUUUCCCUUUGGACAUGUGAGUGGUAGUGGCUUCCUGUG